UCUUUCGCAAAGUGGGUCCCAGCACUAUGUUGAAUGUGAGGGAACACCUUGCAAUGGAACAGGCACCACAGCCAGGCACUGAGCAUCUAACACUUUGACCAGAUUGCUGUGCAUUUCCAUACAAUAUACUGCAUGUGUCACAGGACAGCAGUUUCUGCAGGUGACAACAGAGGACCAAAGCAGUAGUCUGUAAGCUGCCUUCAGCCCAGUUGUCAGCUGGUAAGUUACCUGCUGUAAAAAAGUCUUUUAAGCACUGCCUUCUGAGUGGCCACGAAGGCUUUCUCCUGUUACAUAGAAACCAGAUUUUUGCUGAACUUAUUUGAUCCAUUCCUAGGGAGUAAUAAAAUAUACAUUUUGCUCAGUAAAAACUCCAUCUGGUCUCUGAGAUAUAUUGGCAUGGCAAGCAUCCACCUUCCAUUGAUGUCACUUGCAGUCCCCAUCCAGCCACUUAUCAAUUCAUUUGUCAGAAGAAGCAGAAAGAUCUCCCUCGCAUAAACAAAAAGUCACCUCCCUGAGGCCUCUAGUAACUGGUCCUCCCUCUAUCCUGGCAACAGUAGUGGCACAUUUUAAGGCUGUAAGAGCCUAAAAAGGAUUUAACAGACUGCCCCUUCUGCUCAGGCAUUCAGAAAUGUCUCUGUACAAAGAAACUGUGUAACAGGGAGGGAAAGCAUUGGGAAUUAAAAAUUAAUCAAUCUUGGUUUUUUUUCUGGAAGAGCUCUUUUCUAAUGCUUCAGAGCAGAUAGGUGUCAGCUGGGUAGGAAAAUCAGCAAACUGAAUGCCUUCUUUUGAGAUAAGAUGUGAUUCACUUGCAGCUGUGCACACAGAGUCUUAAUUCAUACCGUGUUUUUCAAGUGUGAAACCAAUUUUAUCAAACUCACCAAAGGAAAUGAAGUGCCACAGGUUUGGGCUUAACUGUCUUUCCGAUACCUAUAGGUCAUGCCUGAGACCUCAGGUCAUUCCUUUUGUAGAGAGUGACCCACUUUCCCUCCUCUUGGGCUGAGUUUAUUAAAGCUUCUGACCUGUUGCAAUUUAUUGUGAUUACACAAGUGACUCAGUUACCUUUCAAAAGCAUUGCAAUAUUUCAAGACAAAAAUAUUACUGAGUAAUAUCAUACUGGUAAAUAUUUAGUGGAAAGAAUACUGUUUGUCAGGUUUAACUGGUGCUUGGGGUUGUUAGUUCUUCUGUCAAGUGUGUGUUUCUGCGUGUGUUUCCUUGUUCAGAGGUGUCCUGUCUCUAUGCCCUUCUCACUCCCUGUUUUUUGUCCUGUUGAGCCAGAAUCCAUUAGGAAGCUGCUUCAGUGCACAAAGCUUCCCAGUCUUGUUUGCAAGUUGAAAAUUAAUCUUAACUACUCUUUUGUGAUUCUAGGAUCUCAAAGAUGCAAAGGACACCUAUUGAUACAUUAAUGUAUGAACAUUUAAUGUGUGCAGGGUUUGGAGGUGAAGCCUUAGGUCACUUAGUCUGUUCAGCCUGGAGAAAAAGAGACUGAGGGGAGACUUCAUCGCAGUCUACAACUUCCUUGUGAGGGGAACGGGAGAGAGUUCACUAAGAAGGUUACAAAUCUAUUGAUGUAUUGCACAAGGACUACGAGAAUCGAACUAUUAAGGGAUUUUCACAGUGGAACAUCAUAUGAGUACAUCACAUUUCUGGAAAUGCAGUAUGUUCAUAUGGUUCAACAUAAGAUCUGUGAAUACACAAAUAUUUAAGAGUGGUUAUUAAGAAUAGAUACCAUCACCUAAUACAGGAGGAUAUAUGCAUAGGUAAUUGAGUUGCACUUCAUGGAAAGGUUCUUGGUCCCUUCCUGCUCGUUGUACAUGGUGUUUGUGGUACACAUCUGCCUUAAAAGCAUUGUCAGCUUUGUCUGUGCCACUGUUUUUACACAGUCUUGCCCUUUCUUACUGUUGUUAGGCUUCUGUUUGCAACUAAAGGCUGUUACUUCCAUCUGCUGUGGGCAAAAAUCUGUCUCUGAAAGACUUUCACUGUCCCUUGGCAGUGUGCCAAAGAAAUAUUUCUCCACCAAAACAGUAGCUGUCAGUCCUGGAUUUUAGGGACUGCAAGAUCAUCUUGAAUACUUAACAGUGCACCUUUACAUUAGUUAUUAUUAGGUCCUGCAGAAUUUUCUGGGCCUGGACUUCUGAGCCUCUUACAUUCCCCAGAUGAGGACACUGACUGAUGUACAGCCCAUUGUUCAUGCAAACACAAAGCAGCCUGAUGAGCUGCAGUGCUCCUUUUUUACUGCUUUCUUUUCUUACUUUUAAGCAACAGAUCUUGAAAGAGAACUGAUUUAUCUCUUGUAACCCAUAUAUAUCGCUGUGCUACCCAACAAAAUAUUUCCUCUCUCCUAUGCUCUUUGUAAUCACUAUUGACAACAUAAUUUUUCUGAUUGUCAAUCGGAUUUAUAACCUGAAACAAAACUUGAGCGGAUACUGAGACAAAACUUGAGUGUAUACAAAGAAGCAGACAGGAAUACAAAGAAUCAAGAAGUCAUUAUUGGCCAACAUGGGGUGGGCAGUACUCCCAGCACACCUGCAGUAUAAGAGUUUCAAGAUUUUUGCUGGAAAGCUUUGAAAAGCACAAUGCAUUCACUUCACAAAUGCUUAUGGCAUUCUUCUCAUACAUGAUGGCUGCAAGGGAGGAAGUGCCAAGGCGAUGCAGAGAACAUGGCCAAUUGUUGACUGGAAUCAGCAUCUUUAUAGAGAAUGAGGGAUUACAAACACACACAAAGGGAAGUUCUUGAAAAAGAAGACAAUGAUAUAAUUGAUGAAUGAGAAAAAUGAGCAGAGAAUAAAUGUGUGAAGUUCAAAGACAAACUGAUAUGAGAGGAACUGAAAGAAACAAAUGGAGGGCAGAAGCUGUUGCAUAAGGUGGUAAGGGUGCAACCUUUAUCAGAGCAAGCCCCUAUGCUGCUGGAUAUGGAAGAAAGAAAGGAACCCUCUAAAUUUCUAGUUUAAUGCUCGUACUGUGAGCAUCUUUGGGACUCCACACAUGAUUUCAAGGAGUGUGAGAUAACUAAGUGUAAAGGAAAAGUCUUGUAGGUAGGGUUAGGCAUUUGUACUGUCAAAUAUUUUGGAAACUUUGCACUAAAAGGUACAUUAUUUUCUCUAAAUACACCUAAUGACCAACAGUAGAGCAUGAGCUCAGAUGCCAUGUUUUUGUUACCUGGACAAAUGGGAGAAUAAAGAACACAUAUAGGAUGUAGGACUUAACACCAGAAACUUCCCUGUAUUACAGCUGCAAUUUUCUCAGACUUAUUUAGCUGGCUAGAGAAAAACUGUGAUGUCUGACUAAGACACUUGUAUCCAAAUAAAUCCAAUUCUUGCACAGUUCACGUGAGAUUAUAUGCAAGAUGCAAAAGUGUCUCUUAAAUUUGCUGAGCUUUCCCUCCAACUGCUCAGCAUCUUUUGUGCUGCAACCUGUUACCCCUGGAGCAUCUCUGCCUUCAGACUCGCUCACCUCUUCUCAGUCUUUCCCUCCCCUUAAUAUAAAAGAAAUUUUGAACCAAAAAUUUGAACGGUGAAGUUCUUUUCACUUAACUCUUGUAAUUUAAAAGUUAACCUAAUAAUCUAAAAGUCAAUCUACUGAUUUAGUUCUGGAUAAAUAAACUGAGAGAGCGGUUCAUUUAAUUCCUUAAAAAUAAGUAUGUACUUAUUUUUACAAAUAUAUUGUAAGUCCUCUAAGGUUGGGCUUCAAUUUUUUCUUGACCUUGAUAUCAAAAAUGUGGUUUAGGUGCACUAGAAGGAAAAUCCUGUAUUGAUAGUCACUGAUUGCCCACAUCAGGGACCUGGAUCACCACUCAAUUCUUUCUCAUGUAUCUGGGUCUUCCUCCGGUGGAAAAGAGCCUCAGGGAAGGAGAAUGAGCACAAACACCUGGCUUUCCCCCAAGUGUGCAGUCAGCAUGGAGUCAGAGUGGGUAUCUGAAGCCUGAUGUUCUUUGACAUAUGACGUGUUGUACCAAGUAAUCUUUCUCUCUCUAUUUUUUACGUAAGAGUGAUUUUUGAGCUGUCAGACAUAGUCCACAAGUCUGUAACUUCUUCACAAAGCAGGUCACAAAACCCAGGACCAGGAAGAGGUUAAUAGGACUGUAUCCAAAGAUCUUUAGCAGCCGCUUCUGUCUCUUUCCUGUAUUUUUAUACUAAUCUCUUGAAAUUUUAUGAUGCUGUUUUCAAAUAUGUUUCCUAUAUUAAUUGCUUGAGAAUAUUUAUAUAUUAUUAUUGAGCUGUUUAAGUGUCCAUGGCUGUUCUCUUAUGAUUCUUAUAAUUUUCAAAAUGUUUGUUAAUACCUUUGCUUGAGGGAAAAAAAAAGCAGCACACACAAUAAUUUGUAGACAUAGUAAACUUCAUAAAAGCUGCUUAUGUUUCUGAGCUCUCAGAUUUAAUUCUGCCUGUGCCUUCAAUGUCAGCCAAACACUUAAUACUGAUGAGAAGAUAGCUCGCUGCUCAGACAUGGAUGUACAACAUCUCUUGGCUGCUGUAAAAGCAUGAGAUUUGGAACAAUUUCCACUCCCUGUGCACCUGACUUUUUUGAAAAUGGUCCAGGUUUUGUGUUUGUGAACUGAUUUGAUGCCUUUAUUCUUUAUAGAGCAUCUCCUCAGCCCUUCUUUAUCCAUCCUUGAAUGUGUGCCACACCAUCUGAAAAUGAAAGAUUGAAUUGGAAGGAUGGCACUUCUUUUUUUAGCUUUUUCACAGUUCUUCCAACAUUUCCUUUAUUUAAAACAAGAAUAAAUGAUUUUUGGAGUGCC